CGGGACGGGUGAGUAACGCGUGAGGAACCUGCCUUGAAGAGGGGGACAACAGUUGGAAACGACUGCUAAUACCGCAUAAGCGCACAGUAUCGCAUGAUACCGUGUGAAAAACUCCGGUGGUACAAGAUGGACCCGCGUCUGAUUAGCUAGUUGGUAAGGUAACGGCUUACCAAGGCGACGAUCAGUAGCCGACCUGAGAGGGUGACCGGCCACAUUGGGACUGAGAUACGGCCCAG
rnacentral:rRNA from 1 species